UGCUGCUUUUCUUUGACAAAUUUCCUUCCUUUUCCUUUUGUUUUAUUAAAAACAAGGAGACAGCUCAGCGGAGGAGGAAGGAAAACACUCAGAGGAACAUUCAAAAAGUGAUCAAAGCAAUGACUCUCAUGAGGAAAGCUCAGCAGAAGAGGAGGAGGAGGAAGAGGAGGAGGAUGACGAUGAAGAGGAAGAGGAGGAUGAUGGAGAUGAAGAGAAUGAAGAAGAAUCAGUGGAGGAGGGUGAUGUUAGCAGUACAGCUGAUGUCCUAGUUGUCUCUGAAGACCUCAGGAGACCUUCUUUAACUGAUGGUGUGAAGAUCAACAGCACUCUUGUUUCUGAUGUUCCUCCCAGAGCUGAAGGUGAGACGGGUGAGGACACUACCAAAGCAGAGGCAGAAGAUGUUAACCUACCCCACCCUUCUGUAAAAACCACCUAUGCAAUGCCGGUGACAUUAGAUGUUCCUGAAGACUGUGUUGUGUCCGCCAUCAGAGUGGAGGCUAAAUUUUCUGAUGAAGAAGAAAGCCUCGCUAGGGACUCUCUGAGGCCAUCAGGUCAAAACAGGAUGUCAAAUGUAGUUUCACUGGGAGUGGGCACACCAUCACCUGGUGAGGUGAAAGAGACCAACAGAGAAACGGGAAAAGAUCAGGAAAAGUCCUGGAGCCAUGAUGAAAGCGGUGAUGAGGAUAAUAAAAACACAGAAGGUCACAGCGCUUUGAUCACUAAUUCCAAACAUGUGCUAGCCAGAGUUGGUACAGUUCAUGCAGAUGUUCUGACUGAUGGGGAUGAUUUUGAAGGAUCAGAUAAAAAGGUUUGGAAAGGUGAGAAACGUAGAUCCUCUUGGGGCUCGUCCCUGGAAGGCAGUGACACGGACCUGCCCAGAGAAGGUGAGACCCUUCAGCUGGAAACUGGCAUUAAAGGAGCAGCUUCACGUGUUUCUAAAACCACUUCACUUCCAAAUGAAGAGCAUCCUCAUUUGUUUACAAGCUGGCAUGAGCACAAAACCACACCCACUGCUGAUGAGUCCAAGUGGGAUUCUUCUGAAAACGAUGAUGAUGUUGGGUCUAGAGUUAACUGUGAAGUAAAGACUAUCCCAGAAAACCCAACCAAAGAGGAGCAUGAAUGCUCCUGGGAAGAAGAUCAGGGAAGCAUUGAGAAAGAGUCACACAACCCCUCCCCUGUGGUGUCUGCAUUACUGGAGGACGAUGAUGGUGCAGGAUCUGUGGCUCAGUUGUCACAAAUAGAUGACAAACCAGAGUCUGAGAUUGAGAAAGAGGAUAGUGAUUGGGAUGUUGAAGAUGAAAGUGAUGAGUCAGAAAAUCAGAAAAGAAAAGAGACAUCAGUUUUUUCUAAAGUCACAUCGUCAUCACCUUUGGUUGUAGACAAGAAGGGAACAGGAAAUGGAAACGCUGAUGAGAGUGAUGACGGUGAAGCCGUUCCACGCUCCAUUAUUGAUGACGACUAUGAAAACAUGGCUGAUGGCAGACACGAGUCGAGUGACGACUCUGACAGCAAGCAUCAGAAACAUACCGAGGCCACGGUUGGGAAGCUUGAUGAUGGGGCUUUCUUAACCUCAUAUGUUCCUCUGGAAAAGCAGAGUCCACUUGUUACAGAAACAAGAGACAACCUCAAUGAAGAACACAGUAGGAGAAGUACCUUGUCUAGUCCUCCUACCAAAAACGACGACAUGUUCUCAGAUGAAGCAUUGCCUCAGACUGACAUUGAUCACGUUGAUGUCAACUCACCUGAUGAAGACGAAAACACAGGCGUGGGACAGCAUGGGCCCGGUGUUGAGAAAGAAGAAUCCACAGAUAACGAGGAUUACAGCGAUGAAGAACAGGAUCAGGUUAAGGAGGACGAGGAAGAGGAAGAUGUAUCAGAUGUGAAUAAUCAGUCUGAAGGAGGUGAAGAGUCCACUUCACCUGCUCCUGAAGGAGAAGACUCUCAGGAAAAGAAAAGAGACUUCCUGUCUGAGCUGGGUUUGGAGGAAGGAGAAGAUCAGGAUUCAUUCGACUCCGAGUCAAACUCAGAAAAUGAAAAUGUACCACAUAAAGACAACCAGCAUGAGGAGCUGUCUCCUACUGAAGCAACACUCGGCGAACACAUGUUUUACAUUCCUUCUUUUUUAAGAGGGGGUGAAGGCAGUAGGAUGGCAGAGAUAGAGCCCUACAAGUGUGUAGGCUGGCCGCAGAGCAGCCAGAGAGAGGAUAGUCCCUCAAUUAAACGUGUCUCACCUCUUCUAGCUGCAAACAUCAGUAAGGAUCCAGAUGAUAAAGGCGAUGCUCCACAGAAGGAGAAGACAAAAUGGGAAACACUCAGUGUGCUGAACAAACCCAAAGAGAAUUUUGAUUCAAAAAAAGACUUCAUGGAGGAGCUGGGUCUGGGGGAUGUUGAUGAUCUUGAAGAUGCAUCAGACUGGGAUUCGGCCAGUACCACCAGUAAGAGAACACUGCCUGGACGCAGAACAGUCUCCCCUGGGCUGGAAGAGCUUCGCCAUGACUCUAAAUUAUGUAAUAAGGACCAAGAAGGAGAUGCUGUUCCUGCAUCAACACCUCCAAGGAGCCUCGGUUCUGACAACACACCCUCUAAACCCGCUCCUCAGCCCCAACCUCAAGCCAGGACGAUGCUGCUUCAGAAAGCAGAGAGUGAAGAAAAAUCAGAUUGGGACGCAGAUGAAGUCACAUCACCAGAUGACAAUCAGCUGAAACCUUUGGCUGAGCCUCCUGCUGCUGCUGAACCAGGCUCCCAUGAGCUCUCUCUGAGGGCAGAAGACAGUGAUGGGAGCUCAGAGUUUGAUGAGCAGCAACAGAUGGAGAAAGAUGAUGCAGUAGAUAGAUGUGAGCUAGAUUCAGAUUCCUGUGGUGUGGAUGAUGGAGAACAGGACGGUGAGUUCAGUCCCGAAGGCCCCGCUGCUGGAGACGCACCAUGGGAGAAACGUUACGAGAAACUCUGGGUGGAGGUGGAGAAAAAGGAAGUAAAAUCCACCUUUAAAAGUGUUGCCAGUGAAUUAAAGGAGAAGUUUGGAGAACUUUUUAAAUCAACACCUCCUACUGAAAACAGAGAGGAAGCUGCAGCUGCGUUGACCUCUGCAGACGAAGACUCAAGUGAUGAAGAAGGAGGUGAUGUUUUUGUUCGACCCGUAGCUCGAGCGAGAAGCACGGUUCUGGUCACCAUUCCUGAGCAGAGAGAGUCUGGGCAGGAGGACUCUGCUGCUGAGUCACUGGAUGAGGAGCGGAUGCAGAAGUCUGAGGACAGCAGGGUUCCUCACAAGCUGGAUCUGCCUAAUCCUGAUGUUCUGGAGUCUGUGUCAUCACAGAUCGACUCAACACAGAAAGAGAAUACAGAGAGGAUGAACAUCAAGGAUCUUGUUGUCACAUCCAUACGUUCUGUUGUUCAAGAAGAUCCUAAAACAGAAGUAGGUCCACCCCUGAAAGACCUGCCCGCUGAUCUCAGUGAAGCUGACUGGACCAAAACUAGGCCAGAAGAUGAGUCUCAGCUGUUCAUAAAAAGCAGACGCGCCUCUGAAGAGGACAGGAAAAGAUUUAAACUCGAGGUUGGCAAAGAAACACUAAACACGGCUAUGAAGAAUCAGAAAUCAAGUGCUUCCCUGGAUGGUGGCGGAACAACAGUGGAAGAAGUUGAUGCUGAGAAACCUGAUCCUGGAUCAGGUUUUGUUUUGAGUCGCUCUGGAGGAAUCCACAGAACCAACAGAGAUCCAGCACUGUCGCACCUCCCAGUCCAGCUGAGCUGCAGUAGCAGGAAGCAAGAGAAGCAGGGUGUAUCAGAGCCCUUACAGCUGGAGGUGGUCCGAGGGGCCCGGCUCGGCAGAGCCCCUCAGACCAGCACACAUGCUAACGGAGAUCCUCUCUCUGUGUUUGAUGAUAGCUCUUUAAGUGAUGUGUCGGACGAUGACCAAAGGUUAACACAUGCUGGACAACAGAAGAUCAAGAACCCCGAGGACGUAGACGUGGCGGAGGAGUUUGAUGAACUGACUCAGUCUUCUGACACUGCUACCGACGACCUAGACUCACUCAUGUCUGGCUACCGUCACGCUUCUCUACUCGUCCAAAAGCUGGACUCAGUCAAUUUUGACUCAACGAGCAUUACAAAGCUGCAGAACAUUUUCCAUGAGUAUGAGCGCUCCAAUCAAAAGCUUAGGAGUCGCCAUAGGUACCUGUCUGACAAGGUGGGCCAGCUGGAAAUGGAGAGGGCGGAGCUGAAGAACUCACUGGAGGAAGUUAAAGAUUUGAAGUCUUUACUGGAACAAAGUCAGCUGGAGUUACAGACGGAAAUCACAAACCUCAAGUUUCAGCUGAAACAGGAACAGGAGAAUCGUCACAAUGCCAACAUGAUGUACAACACUACCAGAGACAAGCUGAGGAGGACGGAGGAGCAGCAGCAGCUGGAGAUUCAGGACAGGCAGAAAGUGGAGCUUGCUCUCAGAAAUCAGGAGCUGGAGAUGAGGACAUUAAUUAGCAACAUGAAGCAGCUCGAGGAGGUCCACAGUGAGACCCAGAGACUGCUAGCUCAGGAGCGGAGUGCACGGACCCUGCAGGAAAGUCUGCUGAGCAGUCAUGUCCGAAAACAGCAAGAGAUGCAGACAGAGAACAAAAGGAGCCUGAGCAGGAGCAACGAGGCUUUGUCUCAACUGACUGAAGCCAGUGAAAGAGAGCGAGAACUUCUCCAACAAACUGCAGCUCUGCAGGAGCAGCUGAGCACGCUGAGGGCAGACCUGGAACGGUCUCAGGCAAACAGCAGCCUGAAAGAGAGCCACCUCUCAGAGGAGAACGAGGUUCUUAAGGAACAGCUGGAAGAUGUUCGCAGAGAUCUUAAAAUUAGCAAUGAAACGGUGACCCAAACUGUCUUCAGCUGCAAUAACCAGCUGUCCGCCAUGAAAUCUGAGUUGGCUCUAACAACAAGCCGCCUGGAAAACGAACGUCAGACACGUGAAGCUCUGCAAUCAGAGCUGGAGUCAACUCGCAGCCGCCUGGCUGGUGCUGUGAAGGAGGCUGAGCUGCGCCUGGCGGCUCAUUCAGACUCAGAGAAAGCUCUGCUCAGGGAGAAGGAGGAACACCAAAGGCUCAAGGACAGACUCUCAGGGGAGGUAGCCAAUCAGCGUGAAGCAGCCAGCAGCCUGUCGCAGAAGUUGGCCAAGGCCGAGGCUCGCUCCAACAGCAUGGAGAACGAGGUCCACCGGGUCACGCUGCAGCUGACAGAGAAGGCCCUGCUGCUGGAGGUCCUCCAGAGGGAAAAGGACCAGGCUGCUACACGAGUAAAGGAGCUGGAAUCUGCUCUCCAGGCUGAGAGAGAACUGGUCAGUCGGGCAGGAGCGCGCCAUGAGGCGACACAGGAACGGCUGGCCCAGGCCCAGAGUGAGGCUAUGUUGCUUCGGCAACAAUUAGAAGAGGCACAAAACAAAGGUGUUGCAAAGGAGCGCGCUGUGACUGAUGCUCAAGAACGCUUCAGUGACAUUCUGUCCCAGCUACGCUCUGACAGCGAAGAGAGGGUCCAGCUGGUGGAGGACAGAAACAAGGAACUCGCCAGUAAGGCUGUUGACCUUCGGGAUCAGAUCUACAAGUUAGAGGAAGAGAAGAAUGACAGAGAGACCAGUCUCAGGCAACUGCAGCAGGAGCUCGCUGACUCCCUCAAAAAGUUGUCGAUGAGCGAAGCUUCUCUGGAGGUCAACACACGCUAUCGCAACGACCUGGAGGAGGAGAAGACUCGGCUCCUCAGGGACUCGGACAGACUCAAAGGAAAGCUGGAGGAAAGUGAAGAUCAGUAUCUGCAGGCAGAGCGGACCAUCAGCACCCUCAAAAGCAGCCUGGACGAAAGAGAGAAGGAGCUUAGCAUUGCUGCUCAGAAACUUCAGGGGGUGCUGUCCACAUCUGCAGCUUCUGAAGUCACCAUCAAACAGCUGGAGGAAGCUGUGCAGAAGCUGGAGAUCGAGAACGCCAGACUAGAAGCUGCUGCUAAGCAACAGUCCAACAGAAUCGACUCUCUUCAGAAAGGAGCUCAGGAAGCUGCCAUGCUGACUGGCUGCUCACCAGGAGGAGGGGUCCGCGGUCAUUUAGAGGAGUUGGUAACAAACCUCCAGAGCAGUAAGAUGACUUUAGAAGAGCAGCUCAGUAGAGAGGCCCAGAAACGCAGUGUGCUGUCUCACACCGCUCAGGACUCCCACGCUCUGUGGGAGGAGGAGCUGAAGAGUCGCUCCAAGCUAGGGCUUCGCCUGGCAGAGCUGGAAAAAGAAAAAGGAGAACUGACCACUCAGAUAGAGAUAGAAAAGAAAAGAGCCAAGAGAAUCUCUGAGCAGAGGAAGGCCAUCGACGCUCGUCUCGAUCAGGAGAUGACAAGAAACGCAGAGCUUCAAAAAGAAAUGUACAGGCUGCGAACUCUAUUGAAGACUGCAAAGAAGAAGCUGCGGGACCAAGAGGCUGGUGGAGCGGAGUUUGGCUCGCCGGUGAGCAGUCUGCGAAUGGACAGACGCAGUCAGGCCGAGGGGACCUUUGGACAAAUUAAAGACAAGGUGGACGAUCUUCAAGUGCAGCUGGAAAAAGAAACGCUUCGUUGCAGCCAACUAGAAAAAACGAACGAUGAGCUCAAGAUUCAGAUCGCUUCCAUGAGGAGCUCGAGUCAUAAUAGUGACCAUCUAGAGAGGAGUAAGAGGCAUUUAGAGGAGGAGGUACUAGACCUGAGGCGGAGACUAGAGGCUACUCAGGUAGAACAAAGCCAGGUGGAACAGUUCCGUCGCGAGGCAGAAGAAAGAGCCCGCCAGGAGAUCCAACAAAAGCUGGAACAGGUCAACCUCUUCCUGCAGUCCCAGGCUGCAUCUCAAGAAGCCUUGGAUCAGAUUAAAGCAGCCAAUGAGGCCAGCCUGCGUUCUCAGCUCGAGCAGAAGAUCGGGGAGCUGGAAGGGGAACUGGGCCGAGCCCGCGCCACCCAUCAGGACAGCCUUAACCAAAGAGACUCUACACGCACAGAGCUAGAGCGAUACCGGCAGCUCUACACAGACGAGGUCCACCUCCGCAAGUCCCAGGCUGCUAAACUAGAGAGGGCAAAAAGUCGACUUGCAGAAGCUAAUUCCAAGUUGCUCAGUGAGCGCAGCCGGUCGCUGAUCACAAGCAGCAUCGCUAACGGGAGCCUGAUGGGGCCACCACUGGACCUGACCUCACUGGGCUCAGCAGCAAACUACGGGGCCACAAUCGGGUCCCUCAACAGGAACUUUGGACUGGGACUUUCCCUCCUUGGUCCUGUUACUGAGGGACAGAGCAGCAGGGUGGAGGACUAUCUGACCAAGCUUCUAGCUCAAAAGUCUGUUUCUCACUCCUCUCUUCAGCCAGACUCAUGAGCAGAUGCGGAAUGAGUUGGACAGAAGUAUAUCCAGAGAAUUAAGUACGGCCACAGCAGAGCUGGACGCUGCCUCGGUUCGUAUGUCCCUGGGGGGCACCGCCUCCAGAGUGGAGAUGGACCCCCUCAGCAGAGCCACGCAGGAGUAUUUGGAAGUCCUGAAGAAGAACAACAGGAUAUGACUUCACGUUACUACUUCCUGUGGAAAACUGAUGAUGAUUUUAUGAACAACAGAAUCUGUAUUUGCACAUUGCACUUCCCCUCUCAGGAGCUAAGGGCCUGACUCAGAAUGGCUGCAGGUAAACACAACCUCAGAAGUAUUUGUUUUUAUUGGUCUGGCUAAUGUUGGAGUUUGGAUUUUUGUUUGUGAAUUUUAGUCUUACAGAGUUUGUAUUUUUAAGUUUUUAGUAUUUUACCAUAAUUUCUGCCACAUUUGGUACGUGCCAUCAGAUGGUGCAAUAUACUUUAUGUCUUGGUCCUAUUAUAGUAUUGUUUCAUAUUUGUUGUUUUAUUUAUUUGUUUACUAAAUGAAAAAUAUAUACUUGAAUUAGACGAGCUGGAAAGUCUUCAGCUAUAACAGAAUAAGGUGGCUUUUAAUAGUUUCUUAAAUUGUUUUAAACCUGUUUUUGUUUGUUUUUAUUGUCCAAAGAAUUAAAACUGAAUUGUUGUGAUGAGA